rnacentral:ncRNA from 1 species
CAUCGCGCGAAAGGCUGGGACGCGCGGCCCGCAGAGCGGCCGCCGGGACUGCGCCGAGCCACUGGCGGGACCGACUCGCACCAUG